UGUGUCGAUGAGGGAGUGGCUGACUGCCAGUUAAAACAAACUCUGGGUGAUUCUGUUUCCUGUUCUGAGCUGAUUCGAUCUGCAGAAGUUAUCAGGCUAGUGAGCUUUUAAGUUUUGAUAACAUAAAUCCUAAUGAGAACCCCUUGUUCAUCGUUAGCAGUCCUUUCUAACUGGAUAAUACAUUUGCACCAGGAUAUAUCAAAGGUAUCAUAAUUAAAGAACAAGCUUAUUUUGGAUCAACCCCGCCUCCCACCUGGAUUAAUCUCGGUAAGAGCAGCUCUGGGAACUACGUGAUGUUUCUAAAGGUUUGGUUAUCUUGGAGUAAAUUUAAAAAAAA